rnacentral:rRNA from 1 species
UACGUAGGGGGGCAAGCGUUGUCCGGAUUUAUUGGGCGUAAAGAGCGUGUAGGCGGCCUUACAGGUCAGCUGUGAAAAACUCGAGGCUCAACCUCGAGACGUCGGUUGAAACCGUAUGGCUAGAGUCCGAAAGAGGAGAGUGGAAUUCCCGGUGUAGCGGUGAAAUGCGCAGAUAUCGGGAAGAACACCCGUGGCGAAGGCGGCUCUCUGGGACGGUACUGACGCUGAGACGCGAAAGCGUGGGGAGCGAACAGG